rnacentral:lncRNA from 1 species
CUGUUAGGGAUUUUGUAUUGGCAAGUUUCAUGAUUUGAGUCAGAGUCUUGAAGGGUUCGGUUCGUGUUGUCAACGGUUGAAGAAUCUGAGAUUCCGAGAAGAACUCAAAAACAUCUCACAGGUUGAAUCACGAUGCCCAGGUAUGAUUUAAAUAUUUUUUAUGGUGAUUCAUAUCGAUUUAUGACAUUAGAAUUAUAUAAGUAAUAAUUAAUGGAUUAUAAGUGGUUUUUGAAACUUCUGAAUUAUUUUAAUAAUAUUUUAUUUUG